CCGCGCCCAGCCAGGCCAAUUGUCUUCUUGCCCUUGUACAAUUUCCUCCCCAUUAAGUGUGGAAUAGACUUAACCAAUUUGUUUCUAAGGAGUAGACUAUAACAAAAAUGACAGGAUGUCACUUCUGAGAUUAGGUUGCAAAAAGACUUUGGUUUCCAUCUUGGUUGCUCUCUCAUUCAGGUCAUUACCUGCCAGAGGUGGCUUCAAAGGUUUGUAAUCUAUGCAGUCAAGACAGAGUCCUGGGCUUAGAAGGACUUUGCACUUCGUUUAAUGCUUUGCUGUCACUGUCUUGAAAUUCUGAAUAAUUUUUGAACUAAGGGCCCUGUGUUUUUAUUUUGUAUUGGGCCCAACACAUAUAGUUGGUCCUGCCAGCUGCCAUGUUGUGAAUAUGGAGAAGCCAGAAUGGGGAGGAACUCAGGCCUGCCAACAGCUGCAUGAGUGAGCCUGGAAGCAGAUCCUCCAGCCUCAGUAGACCCUUGAGAUAACUGCAAUCUCACGAGAGACCUCGAACCAGAGUGCUGUGCUAGAGUUGGAUUUCAGCCACAGCUUGUUCAUGUUCUUGACCUCUUUUGUGCUAUCCACAACCUGCCCGAUCACAAGCUUCAACCCUGCCUGUUGAGCCUCAGAAAAAUAGAGAAAUGGAGCACAAGUAAUUGUUUACCCUGGGCACGUGGACAAGGUCUGAUACAUUGUCUUUGGAUGAACAGGCUUCAUAUCU
rnacentral:lncRNA from 1 species